rnacentral:rRNA from 1 species
CCUACGGGAGACAGCAGUGAGGAAUAUUGGUCAAUGGGCGGAAGCCUGAACCAGCCAAGUCGCGUGAGGGAAUAAGGCCCUACGGGUCGUAAACCUCUUUUGCCGGGGAGCAAGGGCGGGGACGUGUCCCGGCCCGGAGAGUACCCGGGGAAAAGGCAUGGGCUAACUCCGUGCCAGCAGCCGCGGUAUUACGGAGGAUGCGAGCGUUAUCGGGAUUUAUUGGGUUUAAAGGGUGCGUAGGCGGGCGUUUAAGUCAGCGGUAAAAAUUCGGGGCUCAACCCCGUCCGGCCGUUGAAACUGGGGGCCUUGAGUGGGCGAGAAGAAGGCGGAAUGCGUGGUGUAGCGGUGAAAUGCAUAGAUAUCACGCAGAACCCCGAUUGCGAAGGCAGCUUUCCGGCGCCCUACUGACGCUGAGGCACGAAAGUGCGGGUAUCGAACAGGAUUAGAUACCCUUGUAGUC